rnacentral:lncRNA from 1 species
GUGUUCCUUCCUACUCCUGUGAACCGUUAGGAUGCUCAGAUUUAGGCAAGACUGCCACCUAGUGGAAGCUGAGCUUCAGAAAGACCAAAGCAAAUAAGCAAGGCACCUUAUUUAUUCCAGAAAACCUGCCAGUGGGCCUGAUUAACAAGGAGCCCGCGACGACUUCCAGACUGUGAAAGUCUCAGGGUUGAGAAAAUUAAGAAUUACCGUGCAGCUUAAAUCCCUUCCCCACACAUCCGUGCCUAAGCAAUAUCUGUGUUCUCCUUUUGUUCUAAAAUAUUGCCACAGAAUAUGCUUACCUUUCCCGUAACUAAAGGUAAAAUAAGGAAAAGCAGUCAUACUAUGUUGACCUCACAGUAAAUUCUCACAGGUAACUACAUCAACCACAAUAGAUCCAAUGACAUAAAAUAACUGAGAACACUACAUUUCAAAUCUGAGAAAAGUCUGGAUAAUUAAGUUAUGUAGAAAUAACUAGUAAACCUCUCCUGGGUGCAAUUUUAGGUCUAUAGUUUAAUCAAAAUAAAUUCUAGAUGAAAUAAGAAUUCCUAUUUUAAAACAAAGAAGACAAAAUGAUAAAUACUUGCCAUCCGGAUUGGUGAAGAUGUUGUUUCAGUGUGGUAAUCAAAGCCUUUCUAAGCAUAAUACCAAAGUGAGAAAGAAAAGAGGGGUGGACUGAUACCAGUUUUUAAAAGAAUGUAAAACUCCUAUACAGUAAACAAGCCAAAUUUAAAGAAAAUAAUAUUUACAAUGCAUGCAAGAAAGAGAUUAGACCUCUACUAUGUGAAGGAACCCAGCACUUCGGGAAGUCGCUAUGGUUUACAAGACCUGUACUUUCCCCAUGACUGCUUGUGUGAUUGUCUGUAUGUCCCACUAAAUUGAAAAUACAAAAGGCAUCAAUCACAUACACUUUGCUUAACAUUGUUUCCUCAGCUCCUAGCAUGGUGCUGUAUACAAGCCAAAUACUGAAAACAUACUCAUUGAAUGAGUAGAUCGUGAGCGAGUGGCAAAAAUGUUUUGAAAUUCAGAGGGAAAAAACAAAUCAAACUUUCCAGUUUGAGGUCAGGAUUCAAGAUAGCAAUGCACCGUACACUCAAAUAAUCCCCUGAUAACAUUGAACACAUUUGAAUAAACUAGUGGCAAAAAUUUCAGGUACAAACAACUCAGAAAGACAUAUGCAUUGAUAAACUUCCGGGAACCUUGAGGAAGUUUGAAAUAUAAACAUUCUCUUAUUGUCGACAGGAGUAUAGACUGAUCUGACCUUUCUGAGAAAUAUCUUGGCACUGUGGGUUUUUUUUUCAUACAUGCCUAGUAAUCUCACAUUGAGGAAAUUCUCUUCUUAAAAGCUCAGCAAAAGGCCAGCAAGAUGGCUCAGCAUGAAAAGGCCCUUACUGCCAAGCAAAUUAGAACCCCUGGAUUCACACGGUGGGAGGGAACUCUUUCCUCUGAUCUCCACAUGCACUCUGUGACAUGUGUGUAUGUGUGUGUAUGUGUGUGUGUGUGUGUGUGUACACAUACACGCACACAUACAUAUAAACACAGUACACAAGUUUAUUAUAUCAUUUAAUGUUAAAAACAUGAGCUAAGAUGCAUUUAUUCGUUGUUUUAAAAGUCAUACAAGAAAGGGCAUUUUGUAAAUAUGUCUACAUUAUAUGGUUAAAUACAGCACAUCCUUUCAAUGGAUGCUGUGCACCAACUGAGAAUGCACACCAUGCAUAUAUAUAAAUGUGCGAUUCAUGUUGUUAAAGAGGAGGCUGUUGGAGAAUUUCUAGAGAAUCACCAUCUCACAAACAUACCUACAUACGUGUGCAUUAAAGAGUCUGAAAGGGUGUUCACCUAUGCGACAACAGCAUUUCUCUCUGGGAGGUGAGAUUUGGAGCAAUCGUGUUUUCUUUUUGCAUAUCUGUGGUUCCUGACUUUUUCACAGUGAGCAUGAAGUAUCUGUAUAAUUUUUUCAGGGAAUAAACAAUGACGUUGACAACAUAAAUGAAAAAAAUCACGUUAUGAAACAGUAUGUAUAGUAUGAUACGAUAUUUGUAAAAAAAAAGAAAAUCACAUAUAAAUAUAUCUAUGUAUGUAUAUAUAUAAUAUAUAUAUGCCUAAGAAAGCUAGAAGGCCAUACACUACAAUGUUAGUAGCAGUUAUCCAUGAGUAGUGAGAUUAGGGGGUGAUUAUUUUUUCUUUUUGCUUUUCUGUGUUUUCUAAUUUUUCUACAAUGAACAUGUAUUACUUGUGUAUAAAAACAUAAUAAAAGUUUUAAAAAUACAC